CAUAGAAACGUGGACUCUAAUCGACUGGAACCAAUCACUGCACGCAUCUGGCUCCAAAAUGGCGGUGUUCCGAAUGGCAGCUGAAAUGACUUCAUUUGGUUGGAAGAAAAAUAAUUUUCUAUGAUGAUGUCACACUUACUCAGUCCAGGAGGAUAAAGAAUCUUCUCCAUGAUGGAAUUCUCCUUCAAACCGGAAGUUAGGAUGGAGCUUCACGGAAGAGACAACGACCUCGGAGUAAAGAUACCUGCUAGCUAAAGUGGAGCUGUUUUCUGUCCGCUCAGAGCAGCAGAAGCAGCAGCUGCUCGGAGCUUUUUCUCCUCCAGACAAAAGCGGGACGAGAAUCUCAAACUCGCAUCCACGGAUCCUGAUGCUCCAUUAUGUCAUGACGUCCCACCAGAAGGUGAUGCGGUUGGUUUUCAGGGCCCGCAGGGAUCUCCGCAAGCUAACGGACAUAGCAAAAUGCUAACACGCAACACAAGAAGCGAAGCUGCCACCCUUUGAGUUGAUUUGAUGAAGAAACAAAUAAAUAAUCAGACUGUUGGUCA